CUUUAAAUAUUUUAUACAAAACUACCUACCUGACUAACAGUAAUUUAUUUCAAAAAUUAUAUUUUGUUAUUGGCUAACAAUUUUUUUUUAUAAACUAUCUAUACUAGCUAUUAGUUAUUUUUAUUUUAAAUAACCAACGUAAAUAUUUAAUAAUACCAUUUUAAUGGUCUCGUCUGUUUUUUUUUUUUUUGUUUUACAUAUUAUAAUGUUUAUAUACUUAUCUAUUACCGCUAAACAGUGAACUAUAAUAAAUUAAACUCAAACUAAAUAAACUAUUUAAAUCAUUACCCAUAAACCAAAUGUACCAAAUUGAUGGCCAAACCCCAAUUUAAUGUAUAUCUAAAUGCAACGAUAAACCAUUGCUGACAAAAAUACGAUUCUGAGCGCAGUUCAGUUGAUAAUGAUGCUUUGUCAACAAUAUUUAUAUCAUAAUAUUGUAAAAUAAUAAAAUAAGCAUUAUAUAUUUUCUUUAAUAUUUGAUUAUUAUUACAUCAAUUUUCCCGUUUUUCCCGCUUUUCCCAUGUUUUUUCCCAGAUUAUAACAUUUGCUAAGAAAAGUCUUGGAAAAAUCGAAAAAUGACCUCCCUAAAGUACCUUCCUAGUCAGAUUUACUUAAAGAAAAAAUGCUAUUAUUAUAAAUCGGUGCAAAAUGUAUGGUAGGAAAAUUAUCCAGAAAAAAAAAAAAUAAACAUUAUUGUAAAACCAUAAGCUUCUCCGCUCUAAAAUCUAAAAACAGAUAAUUUUUUUUUAUUUUAUGAAAAAUAUUGAAUAACUAAAGUUAUUGCCUAAACGAAUAUGUUUUUAUUUUUAUUAGUAUUAUCUUUGUUUAUACAGUCAUACAUAGUGUAGAUAAGUGUUAACGAUCUUUAACAAAUAAUUUAUGCUGCUAAAUUAAGUAUAUUUCAAGCUCUAAAUUUUGACUAUCACUUUUAUUAAUUUCACUUCAAUUCUUAGUUCUAUACUGUAAUCAAAUUGAAUGUACACAUUAAUUAACAAAGACAAGAUUGAAAACAAAAAAAAUUGUUAGUUUAGGUUAAAUUAAA